GCCCCUUUAACUCAGUAGGUAGAGUAUUGGCAUGGUAAGCCAAAAGUCGCCGGUUCAAAUCCGGCAGGGGGCA
rfam:Coccomyxa sp. C-169 plastid, complete genome.